UACAGAGGGGGCAAGCGUUGUUCGGAAUUACUGGGCGUAAAGGGCGCGUAGGCGGCCUGUUAAGUCGAACGUGAAAUCCCCGGGCUCAACCCGGGAACUGCGUCCGAUACUGGCAGGCUUGAAUCCGGGAGAGGGAUGCGGAAUUCCAGGUGUAGCGGUGAAAUGCGUAGAUAUCCGGAGGAACACCGGUGGCGAAGGCGGCGACCUGGUCCUUGACUGACGCUGAGGCGCGAAAGCGUGGGGGAGCAAACAGG
rnacentral:rRNA from 1 species